rnacentral:rRNA from 2 species
AGUCGGCGAACAGUGAGAAGCUUGCUUCUCUGAUGUUAGCGGCGGACGGGUGAGUAACACGUGGGUAACCUACCUAUAAGACUGGGAUAACUCCGGGAAACCGGGGCUAAUACCGGAUAAUAUUUUGAACCGCAUGGUUCAAUAGUGAAAGACGGUUUCGGCUGUCACUUAUAGAUGGACCCGCGCCGUAUUAGCUAGUUGGUAAGGUAACGGCUUACCAAGGCGACGAUACGUAGCCGACCUGAGAGGGUGAUCGGCCACACUGGAACUGAGACACGGUCCAGACUCCUACGGGAGGCAGCAGUAGGGAAUCUUCCGCAAUGGGCGAAAGCCUGACGGAGCAACGCCGCGUGAGUGAUGAAGGUCUUCGGAUCGUAAAACUCUGUUGUUAGGGAAGAACAAAUUUGUUAGUAACUGAACAAGUCUUGACGUUACCAAACAAGCAAGCCUAGGCUAACUACGUGCCAGCAGCCGCGGUAAUACGUAGGUGGCAAGCGAUAUACGGGACUAUUAGGCGGCGUAGGCGGUUAGGUAGUUCCGAUAGUCUGAUGCAAGGCUCCACGGCUCAAGCUCGGUGGAUCAUUGGAAACUUGGAUACUGAAGUGCAGAAGGAAGACUGUAAGUCGAUGUGAAGUGGUGAGAUGUGUGGAGAUAUAGCGGAGCACAAGUCGCGUCUGUGGUCUGUUGCUCUCUAUGUGGCGCGAAUGUGCGGGAACGUAGCGAGCUAACAUGAUCUGAUAGCCUACUCGUUCAAGCAGUAGUGCAUGAUGUCUAAGGGUUUCCGGGUCUUAGUCCUGCAGUUAUGGCAUUAAGGCCUUCAAGCAGUGCAGCUCGAGCGCACGAUCGCAACGCAGAAGCACUAAGGAAUUGACGCAGACCCGCACGAGAUGUGGUGUAUGUCGUAUCAUCGAGCAGAACCUUACCAAAUCUUGAAACCUUUGACCCGUUCUGAGAAUAGGUUCUCCCCUUCGGGGGACAAAGUGACAGGUGGUGCAUGGUUGUCGUCAGCUCGUGUCGUGAGAUGUUGGGUUAAGUCCCGCAACGAGCGCAACCCUUAAGCUUAGUUGCCAUCAUUAAGUUGGGCACUCUAGGUUGACUGCCGGUGACAAACCGGAGGAAGGUGGGGAUGACGUCAAAUCAUCAUGCCCCUUAUGAUUUGGGCUACACACGUGCUACAAUGGAUAAUACAAAGGGCAGCGAAUCCGCGAGGCCAAGCAAAUCCCAUAAAAUUAUUCUCAGUUCGGAUUGUAGUCUGCAACUCGACUACAUGAAGCUGGAAUCGCUAGUAAUCGUAGAUCAGCAUGCUACGGUGAAUACGUUCCCGGGUCUUGUACACACCGCCCGUCACACCACGAGAGUUUGUAACACCCGAAGCCGGUGAGUAACCUUUUAGGA